UCUAUAGUAGCUUAAAGGUAAAGCGUUUGGCUGUUAACCAAAAAUAUAUCAGUUCGAAUCUGAUUUGUAGAG
rnacentral:tRNA from 1 species